AAUUUGGUCUUAAUCAGGCUGAGCUAAGCCAGUCUGUAUUUGAGGAGUUGGAAGCAGGUGAUUCGGGCACAAAUUUGAAGGCCAAUAAACGGCAGCCGUCGCCCGUGCACUCAGAGCGGCCAGGAAUCCUGCUCCUGGGGAAGGAGGAAGGGUGCAAGGGCAGUGAGCAUGUCGCCUUGCCCUCGGGGUGUGCGGUUUCUGCUCAGCCUCCUGCAGCCUUGUUUCAAGUGUGGGAAUGGCCUCCUGACUCCCAAUCUGAAACAACUGCUGAGCACAGAAGGCAGAGCAGGGCCCUGAGAGUCAGAGGAAAAUGCUGCUGCGGGGACUGGGGAGCCCCCUCGGGUGACUCCCCAGAGAUGUGAGCAGGUGCAGAGGCUGGAACAACAGUGCUGCAGGAAAGUCUCUCCCGUGGACGCUGUGGCCUGGGGCUUGGGUGACGACGUGCACGGCUGCCUCCUCGCUGUCACGUGCUCUGCUGGCUCGUCUCCAAGCUGUGCUGCUCAUGUUCCAAAGGCUCCCUGGAGGCUUUAGUGAAAAGCCCUUUCCCCGGUGACCUGGAGCGUCUUGCUAGAUGGAGCUGGCCAAGCCUGACGUCUUUUCCUGGCCGAUGCCUCAGUCCUUACGCAAUUUUGAGGUCAGAAGUCCCAAAUCAGUUCCAGCAGGAUGGAAUCAGGGUGCCAUGAGGGCCGCUCCCUCCAGAGGCUCCAGUAGGGAGGCAGAGGGAGCCUAAGGCCCCUGAAAAGGUAAAGUGCUCUUUGCACCUGAGGGUGGACCUUGCAGUCCCGAACUCUAUGAUGAGCCUGUCACCCACCGUGGUCAGCUACCUCCAUCCACAGACAGUUAAAUGGAUCUGGAUCAACCACCUCCGAGGAUGCCUGUGUUUCAGCGGAAGAUGAGGCUAGUGUGAACUUGGCCUUUACAUCCUUCUCCACAGAGCACUGCAAGCAGCCAGUCCCACUGGAACAUAAGAUGAAGCUUUUGUUCCCAUGGCUGGAUACACUUUGGAUCUUGGAAUGCAAUAAUUACUUCAGCUGGAUCUGGUUCAUGGAGUACUUGGCCAGGGCUCUGCCUCAUGCCGUGGUCCUACAAGAUAUGUGAGGAGGUGGACAUCUUUGCGUAGCCCUCCUCCAGAGGCAAGUGGAUUCCUUCCAUAACCCAGAGAAGGCUGCUUGGGAAUGAGGCUGAGAAGCCAGACUUUUUGGCACACAAAGAAAAAGGGAGUUUUCAAAGUUGCUGCAAAUCAUGCAGGAAGAGAAAACAGGACAUUAGUGGACACUGAUUCUUCCCCUCUGCUGAACUCUGAGUCCAGUUUAAAUCUUUAAUAACAUAACACAUGGAGAAAAUUGCUUAUAUAAAAUGAUCACCUUUCUUUUUUAAAAAAAAAUUAUAGAGACUGGGUCUUGCUCUGUUGCCCAUGCUGGAGUGCAGUGGCUUGAUCAUAGCUCACUGCAGCUUUGAACUGUUAGGCUCAUAUGAUCCCCAUGUCUCUGUCUCCUGAAUAGCUGGGACUACAGGUGGACACUACCAUGCCUAAUUUUUUAGUUUUUUUUUUUUUGAGAUAGGAUCUUGCUAUGUUGCCCAGGCUGGUCUUGAACUCCUGGUCUCGAGCAAUUAUUCUGCCUCAGCCUCCCAAAGUGCUGGGAUUACAGGCAUGAAACACCACACUCAGCCAGAAGAAAUUAUCAUCUUUCUAAAAUCAAACUUCUCUUAUAUUCUGGGAACCUACUGAGGAAGGCACAGAUUUAUCCUUUAGAUGCCAGAAGGCUAGAAUUGGGAAAGCUUCGAAGCUUAAACAGGGCAAAGCUUAGGUCAUAGAAGAAUGUAUUAUCUAUUGCUAUGCAACAAAUUACUCUAAAACUUUAAAAACACAAACAUUUAUUAUCUCUCAGUUUUUCUGGGUGAGAAUCUGGGUAUGGCUUUGCUUGCUGCUUCUGACUCAAGGUCUCUCACCUGUCAAGGCUGCAAUCAAAGUGUCGGUGGGGGCUGCAGUCUCAUCUGAAGGCUUGCCUGGGGAGAACACACUUCCAAGCUCACUGCCCUGGUGGAUGGAAAGCCUCAGGUGUACUGCAAUUGAGGGGAGAAGAUGGCCAACUUGAGCCAGGGUGCAAUGAUAUCAAGAGGCCUGGGAGCUGAGGAGGAAAGACUAACGAGCCUGAGGAAUGGAUGUGGGUCUGGAAGAGAGCUGGAAGAGUACAUGGUCCUGGGAACCUCCUGGGGAAAGUGCUUUAAGUAGGAGGCAGAGACCAACUGGUUCCCAUGGUGCCAAUGAGUCAUGUGAGAUAAGGACUGAGAGUUGACAUUAGGAGUGGCAGUGGAGGGGCAUGUAGUGACUUUGACUAGAGCCAUUUCCGUGGGAUGAGGAGGGUGAGGGAAGCUGACUAGUGUGGGCUCAGUUUAUGCUGGAGGAGAGGACUGGGAGAAUAAUGUUCCUUCAUGUUCCUCAGUUAUGCUGUAAAGGGGAAUGAGAAGCAGUAGCCGGAGAGGACUGGGGGAAGGGGCGUCUAGGUUUCCUCCAUGCAUCUGAUGGGAAUGAUCCUGCAAAGGGUAAAUGAACAAUGCAGGCGAGAGAAGCAAGCCCUGCUGGACAUAUCCUUGAGUAGGCAGAAGCCAAUGUCUGGUGCGUAGGCAGAGGGCUGGCUUUAGGUGGGAAGGAUGGGUGGGAAGAUGAGCCGGCGCAGAAGGGGUAGGGGGGGACUUGCAGAAGCACUUUCUGAUGGUGUCUGUCUCUUCACUGAACUGGGAAGCCAGGUUGUCAUUGGAGCCACCUCCCAGUGGGGCAAAGAGGAGGGAGUGAGAUGCCUCAUGAAAAGCAAUGCUUGGGGUCUGGUAUAGAGUAAUAACUCAGUAAAUCCAUUGUCUUCUUGCUUAUCUCUAAGUUAUAGUGAUCACAUUUUCCAGACCAAAUAUCUGAACCUGGAAUCUGGCAGGUGCCUUAGGGGCCAAUGGGUGUGACUGACUGAAAAAUCAGAAUGUCUCAGAAACACCUAGACUUUUAAUUUCCAAAAAACAGACAUGAUAAGCAUCCAGGGCCUGUCAUGUAUAUUAUGGAACCUAAUGCCACUUUCUUUGGCCCUUUUCCAAAGCAGAUGAUAUCCCAGCACCAGGGAAAAUGGUUUCAAUAUCAAGUUGGGUCAGCAGCAUCUUUCUACCUAUUUCUGUCUUUGUGGUCUUUAUAUUUGAAAUAAUCAUUACUAUUUUAUGCAUUCUCUCCCCAUCCUGCAUUACAGAAGGAACGUUCCUAACACAUGUUUUAUGUUUCAACUGCUAGGAGAUUGUAUUUUUGAAAUAAAAUUUUAGUUAUCCUUUCAUUUUUUGAUCCUGUGGAUACAUACAAAUUUAGAAACUCUGAAAGAACACCUUAAUUUAUAUUCUGUGCCUAUGUGGGUGAGGGAAGAAGAGGCUGUUUGGUAUAUAUUAUAUUUUUAGGUUUUUAAAUCUCUCUUCUUUUUUGCAAAUGUGAUGGAAUGUAACAUUUACCAGAAACUGAGAAUUCCCGAGGCAGUAGCCACAGCAGCAACAGUAACUCUAAGCUGGAGAUGGCCUGCUCUGGUGCCAGAGAGGCCAACCCUUGACUCUACUCUCUCAUGAUCAAUCAGCUGGACAAUCACCAAUCCAUGGUCCUUCUUUCCCAUAAGUCACAGUCUGAGUAUGGCGCCUGUGGCUGGAACCCUUACGCUCUCCUUUGGGGUGUCUGGGUACCACUCUGUCUGACCCAUGCUCCUGGGCAUUCUGGAAGUCGGGACUCUGCCUUCCUUACCUGUCUGUGCUUGGAACUCAGAGGAUCCUUGUUAUGUAGUAGGUGUAGUGGACAUUGGUCAGUAGGGAGGCCUAUCAUCUUUUUACAAGUGUUCUAGACGUUUUCCCAACCCCCCACUUUGUCAACCCUGCCUUUCACACUGACAUCUUUUCCCAGCCUGAUUUGGCACCUGCCCAUCAGACACCAUGUGAGUCUGUGGCUCAGAAUGGGGUCCGGGAAGCACCACACAGGGUGGGCAUCCAUGUGGAGGAUGCAGGAACAGCAUGGUGGAGGCAGGGUGGCCUUGAGGGCAGUAAGGCAGGCUUUGCCAUUCUGUGGUUCGAGGCACAGCCCAGAGCUGAGUCCUUCAAUCCUCCCCAACAGAACUGUGAGAUUUCUCAAACUAAUCAAUAAAUCCCUUCCUGCUGAAACCAAAUUGAUUGGCUUCUGCUGGUUCCAACCAGGCCCCCGGCCAGUGCCAUGG